CCCAGCUGUAGGCAACUGCCUAGGUUGCCUUGUACCUAGGCAAGUGUUAAACUGCUGGGAGAGAAGCAGCCAGGAGCUGGCGGGCAUU
rnacentral:snoRNA from 1 species